AGAGUUUGAUCCUGGCUCAGGAUGAACGCUGGCGGCGUGCCUAACACAUGCAAGUCGAGCGGAGAUAUUUGGAGUACUUGUACAAAGGAUAUCUUAGCGGCGGACGGGUGAGUAACACGUGAGCAAUCUGCCUUUUACUGGGGAAUAACACUGGGAAACCAUUGCUAAUACCGCAUAACGUCUUUUUCCGGCAUCGGGAGAAGACCAAAGGAGAAAUCCGGUAAAAGAUGAGCUCGCGUCCGAUUAGGUAGCUGGUGAGGUAACGGCCCACCAAGCCUACGAUCGGUAGCCGGACUGAGAGGUUGAACGGCCACAUUGGGACUGAGACACGGCCCAGACUUCUACGGGAGGCAGCAGUGGGGAAUAUUGGGCAAUGGGGGAAACCCUGACCCAGCAACGCCGCGUGAAGGAUGAAGGCUUUCGGGUUGUAAACUUCUUUGAUCAGGGACGAAAAAAAUGACGGUACCUGAAGAACAAGCCACGGCUAACUACGUGCUAGCAGCCGCGGUAAUACGUAGGUGGCGAACGUUAUCCGGAUUUACUGGGUGUAAAGGGCGUGUAGGCGGGUCUGCAAGUCGGAUGUGAAAUUCCCAGGCUUAACUUGGGCGGGUCAUCCGAAACUGCGGAUCUUGAGUACUGGAGAGGAUAGUGGAAUUCCUAGUGUAGCGGUAAAAUGCGUANAUNUUANGAGGAACACNNNUGGCGAAGGCGGCUAUCUGGACAGUAACUGACGCUGAGGCGCGAAAGCGUGGGGAGCAAACAGGANUANAUACCCUGNUAGUCCACGCCGUAAACGAUGANUACUAGGUGUAGGGGGUAU
rnacentral:rRNA from 1 species